rnacentral:rRNA from 1 species
UACGUAGGGGGCUAGCGUUGUCCGGAAUCAUUGGGCGUAAAGCGCGUGUAGGCGGUCCGGUAAGUCCGCUGUGAAAGUCGGGGGCUCAACCCUCGAAAGCCGGUGGAUACUGUCGGGCUAGAGUGCGGAAGAGGCGAGUGGAAUUCCUGGUGUAGCGGUGAAAUGCGCAGAUAUCAGGAGGAACACCGGUGGCGAAGGCGGAUCUCUGGGCCUUACCUGACGCUCAGGUGCGAAAGCUAGGGGAGCGAACAGG